rnacentral:rRNA from 2 species
UGCUAUACAUGCAAGUCGAGCGAACAGAUAAGGAGCUUGCUCCUUUGACGUUAGCGGCGGACGGGUGAGUAACACGUGGGUAACCUACCUAUAAGACUGGAAUAACUCCGGGAAACCGGGGCUAAUGCCGGAUAACAUAUAGAACCGCAUGGUUCUAUAGUGAAAGAUGGUUUUGCUAUCACUUAUAGAUGGACCCGCGCCGUAUUAGCUAGUUGGUAAGGUAAUGGCUUACCAAGGCGACGAUACGUAGCCGACCUGAGAGGGUGAUCGGCCACACUGGAACUGAGACACGGUCCAGACUCCUACGGGAGGCAGCAGUAGGGAAUCUUCCGCAAUGGGCGAAAGCCUGACGGAGCAACGCCGCGUGAGUGAUGAAGGGUUUCGGCUCGUAAAACUCUGUUAUUAGGGAAGAACAUAUGUGUAAGUAACUGUGCACAUCUUGACGGUACCUAAUCAGAAAGCCACGGCUAACUACGUGCCAGCAGCCGCGGUAAUACGUAGGUGGCAAGCGUUAUCCGGAAUUAUUGGGCGUAAAGCGCGCGUAGGCGGUUUCUUAAGUCUGAUGUGAAAGCCCACGGCUCAACCGUGGAGGGUCAUUGGAAACUGGGAAACUUGAGUGCAGAAGAGGAAAGUGGAAUUCCAUGUGUAGCGGUGAAAUGCGCAGAGAUAUGGAGGAACACCAGUGGCGAAGGCGACUUUCUGGUCUGUAACUGACGC